CAGCUAAAAACUACUCAAAAUGCAGCAGCGCUACUUGACUUUAAUGGACUUAAAUGACGAUUGCCUGGCACAUAUAUUAAAACUACUGCCCAGCGUGGAUCAAUAUAAUUUUGGACAAACUUGUGUGCGGCUACGUGAGUUACUAAAGCAACGCGCAUGCCAACUUUAUCCAAUAUUUCAGCUGCAAUGGAGUAGAAAGCUGACAAGCGAACAACAAAUAAUGUUAAAACUAUUUCUAAACAUUUACGAGCGACUACAGCAACUGGUGCUCGAUGUUGAUAUGUCAAAUGAGCUGUUGCUUGUGCGUUUGAGCAACAUGCAGAAUUUGGAAAGCUUUGCUAUAAAUGAAAUUGCACAUGACAAAUGCAAUGCUCGCAUUUUUGAGGCAUUGAACGCUUUGCCCAAGCUGCAAAGUAUUUAUGCGCAAUGCAAAAUAACAAAAGCUAUGGCCGCGAGUUUGAUCAAACUUAAGCAGCUUAAGGAGCUACGCAUACGCGGAAGCAGCUGCAUCAAAUUGCUUGUGGAAAUUUGUAAAUCAAACAGUGAGCUACGCGUUUUAACGCUAGGCAAGCAGCAAAUGUCAUUGCAGCUCAUUGUGCCGCACUGCAAAGAGUUGCAGCAAAUUGACUUUUCCAUAAGCCAUGCGGACUGCGACUAUGCAGCGCUAGCUACGCUGCCCAAACUAAAAAAGAUGUGCAUACACUCGCAACACGCAAACUUAAGUUGGCGUCUGCGCGAACUCUUGAACGCAUUGGCAGCAGCAACUCAACUAAGCUGCCUUAAACUGCAAACUAACAUUGAUCUGCAGCUGACCAGCAGUGUGUUAAAAUUAAAGCAUCUACGCGAAUUGGAGCUGUACGUGGAGGAGAAAUGUUGUAUAUCGCUACUAACUGCACUAAGUCAGCUCGAAAGAUUACACAUAAGAUUGGAUGGCUACCAGCAUGGACAGGAGAUCUUAAGUGUUGUAAUGUCAUGUCCAAAGCUGCAGCGCCUGGAGCUAAGAACAACUCAAUACAGUCAGUUUGCAUUAGAUCUGAUGCAAGUGCUCAGAGCAGUGCGCAGCCCAAAGCAACAGAAACCCUUGGAGUUGUAUAUUUGGCGUCUAUUGGAUGUGGGCUAUGCAGUUAGCUCAGACCUUUUUGAUAGCGCCUACUGUACAGUGUUGACUAAAUCAUCGUCCUAUGAUUGGUAAGCGCUGGAAAUGGUUCAAUUAUUGCUGCUGCUAAGCAAGCUAAACUACCCGCUGCUUGAAAAGUAUAGAACAUCCCGCAGUUAGCAAAGAAGUUGACAUUCAUUUCAUUGGGGUUGCUGGCAGAGGCAAAAGCAAAGCAUUAGCACCAUGUGUUUGUUACUGCAGCGACCAUGACCAAUAGCAACAGCGAUAACUGCCCAGUCCUUCUUGAAUGGAUGCUGAAAC